UCGAGGGAGUCCUGGGAAUAAUAGCGUGCUCCGCCUUUUACAGUAUUGUAACUCUAGCGGAUUCAGCGAAGACAUCGAGGACGAGUUUCAGAUCGGCUUGUACCGCUAUAACACGCACGAAAGUCUAGUGGACACCUUUGAGACUUCCGAAGUGAUCGAGUUCAAGAUGGAGGACGUACUACGAGAGCUGCAAUACGGUGGUGUUCACGUGGGCUUCGCGGCGUUCAACCUGGAGCACGAGGACGCUAAGGGACUGUGCGGGAAGAGUUUCGCUCGCCUCAAGACAGUUUCCAAGUUCCUCAAAACUUUCACCUGAGGAAAAAGCCGGGAUGUCCGUUAUAAUAAAAUGUUGUGUCGUCGUA